CCUACGGGAGGCAGCAGUGAGGAAUAUUGGUCCAUGGGCGCGAGCCUGAACCAGCCAAGUAGCGUGAAGGAUGACUGCCCUACGGGUUGUAAACUUCUUUUAUAAAGGAAUAAAGUGAGGCACGUGUGCCUUUUUGUAUGUACUUUAUGAAUAAGGAUCGGCUAACUCCGUGCCAGCAGCCGCGGUAAUACGGAGGAUCCGAGCGUUAUCCGGAUUUAUUGGGUUUAAAGGGAGCGUAGAUGGGUUCUUAAGUCAGUUGUGAAAGUUUGCGGCUCAACCGUAAAAUUGCAAUUGAUACUGGCAGCCUUGAGUAGAGUUGAGGUAGGUGGAAUUCGUGGUGGAGCGGUGAAAUGCUUAGAUAUCACGAAGAACUCCGAUUGCGAAGGCAGCUUACUAAACUGCCACUGACAUUGAUGCUCGAAAGUGUGGGUAUCAAACAGGAUUAGAUACCCGAGUAGUC
rnacentral:rRNA from 1 species